GCGAGUGUCGUAUAGUCUGGCCAGUACGUAAGCUUGCCAAGUUUACAACAGGGGUUCAAAUCCCCUCACUCGCACCA
rnacentral:tRNA from 1 species